UUUAGCUACUUGCCCACAGGAGGGCGCCCUCUACCUGUUAAAAGCAUUGAAACUCUUUGCAUUGAAACUGAACAUGAAAUACCUAUCAAGAAUCUCAUGCAACUAGACCUCAGUUCUUAUAGAAGAGAGAAAAAUCAAAACGACUGGUUCUGAAAGAACGCAAGGUCUAAAUGGGUCAAAGCAAUGGAGCUCCCCAGAUAAUUGUGGUGGUUUGUAAGAUUUGCUUAGAGUGCAGAGUCCUUGAAACAAGGGUAUUUCAAAACAACCUCUUCACUUUCACAAUGCACUUUUGGGACAACUAUGCCAAGGCAAAGAUAAUUUCAUUCGGGGCUAAAGAGUGUUUUCUAACCCAGGAACCUUGAAAAUAUCUGUUCAUAGCUCCAGCACUAACAGCUCCACAAGACACACCACGCCUAAGACCUUGAGAUUCCUGAAGAUAGACGAGAUCCUAUGGCCUUCUCAGGCAGUAAUUUCUGCCCAUUCAUCCAACCUUGAUUAGUAUGACCGGACUUAUUGUCAGUUUCUGGCUUAGAAUCUUUUUCCUAGGCUAUCCACUUUCAAGUCCUAGCUGUUUAGAAUUUAUAUUGGUAGAAAACACCAAGUUAGAGUUAAACCUAAAAUAGCCACCAUGCAGAUGCUAUUUCCUAUUGGCAAAAAUAAAAGAAACAUGCUAAAACUCUUAAA